AGCGAGCGCUGGCGGCAGGCCUAACACAUGCAAGUCGAACGAUCCUUCGGGAUAGUGGCGGACGGGUGAGUAACACGUGGGAACGUGCCCUUUGGUUCGGAACAACUCAGGGAAACUUGAGCUAAUACCGAAUGUGCCCUUCGGGGGAAAGAUUUAUCGCCAUUGGAGCGGCCCGCGUCUGAUUAGCUAGUUGGUGUGGUAAUGGCUCACCAAGGCGACGAUCAGUAGCUGGUCUGAGAGGAUGAUCAGCCACACUGGGACUGAGACACGGCCCAGACUCCUACGGGAGGCAGCAGUGGGGAAUCUUGCGCAAUGGGCGAAAGCCUGACGCAGCCAUGCCGCGUGAAUGAUGAAGGUCUUAGGAUUGUAAAAUUCUUUCACCGGGGACGAUAAUGACGGUACCCGGAGAAGAAGCUCCGGCUAACUUCGUGCCAGCCGCCGCCGUAAGAC
rnacentral:rRNA from 1 species